AGAGCAUGUAGAGCGUGGUGAACAAGUGGAGCAUGAUCAGGGUAGACAACAUCAGGAAAGUGAUGUGCCCCCAUUAGAGGAUUUAGAGGGUGUUCAACAUGUUGAGGAUGAGGCUAGACAAAAUGAUCAGGAAGAUGAUGUGGCCCCAUCAGUGGACCCCCCGUUGCCUAGGCAUCCUCGUCGUGAGUACAAGACUAGGCAUACAUUAAGAUCAUGACCAAAGGACACAAGAAAUGAAGAGGGGAAAAAUGAUGAAGAAAACGAUGCUCCACUUUGUCUUUACUUAUCUUCCAAAAAAAUAA